rfam:Candidatus Peregrinibacteria bacterium RIFCSPLOWO2_02_FTLL_39_10 rifcsplowo2_02_scaffold_7981, whole genome shotgun sequence.
GGGCGAGUGGCGGAACUGGUAGACGCGCUAGCCUUAGGAGCUAGUGGCCUUGCCGUGAGGGUUCGAGUCCCUCCUCGCCCA